UACGAGUGCCCCAAGCGUUAUCCGGAAUCAUUGGGCGUAAAGGGUGUGUAGGCGGUUGUGUUAGUCUUCUGUUAAAUUCUUCGGCUUAACCGGGGGUCUGCAGGGGAAACGGCACAACUAGAGGAUGCGAGAGGUGAAUGGAACUCAUGGAGUAGGGGUGAAAUCCGUUGAUAUCAUGGGGAACACCGAAAGCGAAGGCAAUUCACUGGCGCACUCCUGACGCUGAGACACGAAAGCGUAGGUAGCGAAUGGG
rnacentral:rRNA from 1 species